CCAUCAAAGCAGCCAGACAGGUGGGGGGCCACACAGAGGUGGGUCGCGGGCCGCCAGUUGGACAGCACUGCUAUAGAGAAUAAAAGUGAUAGGAGGGAUAGUAAGUGGGGAGGGCGGGAAGGGCAAAGGGAAAGGAGAGUAGAACAGUAGGUACAUAAAAUAUAAAAUGGACACUUUACUUAUUUUCUGAAAUAUAGCCAGUCUUCUGUUGAUAUACUCUUUCAUCGCUGCUUUGUCCUCAAUAACAUUAUCUGUUGAAAGAGACACUAGACAUUAGUGGAAUAGGGAGCUCUAACAUAUAAAUGAAGCAGAGAGGAGAAGAACAGGAGCAAUAAUGUGAGGGGCGUGGGUACUAUAGAGAAUACAGAGGAAGGCUAAUGCUCUAUGUAAAAAGGAAACAGGCUAGCACAGGGGUGGGAAUAUAGAGAAAACGGCAGUUACACAGAGACCAACUGAAGGUACUCACCAGGUGAAACGGUGGUCUCUCUCCGACGCACCGGAGCUCCAACAGCUGCAAUUAGAAGCAACGCACGAUGUCAGAUUCAAAGAAUUAAAUCACAUAUAUAUGUCAUAUAUAAUAAGUAAAUCUGUGUAAUGAUAAACUGUGGAAAAUAUAAGUACUAGAAGCAAUGGUACUUACUUGAAUUAAUUAAAAAUAUGAAUAAAAAAAUAAUAAGCAAAAACAAGGUCUUCAUGUUUUGACAAUCAGACCUCAAAUGGCUGCAGUCAGGAACAAGAUCUGGAUUAAACCUAGGGACCAUUGUGAUGUCAUCAACAACCAAGUCCUGUGACCAAACCCGGAGGCAAGAGCAUUGUGAUGUCAUCACCACUCACCAAGCAACUGUUUGAACUGAGCAGGAGAGAGGGGGACAGAAAUAUCCAUUUACACUGUUAUAUAAAUGUGUGAUUUUGUAGCAUUAAUAAAAUAUACAAAGAUGGAAACUUA